rnacentral:rRNA from 1 species
UACGUAGGGUGCAAGCGUUGUCCGGAAUUACUGGGCGUAAAGCGCGCGUAGGCGGCUUUUCAAGUCAGAAGUGAAAGCCCCGGGCUCAACCCGGGAAUAGCUUUUGAUACUGUUGAGCUCGAGUCCGGGAGAGGAUAGUGGAAUUCCCAGUGUAGAGGUGAAAUUCGUAGAUAUUGGGAAGAACACCAGUGGCGAAGGCGGCUAUCUGGACCGGUACUGACGCUGAGGCGCGAAAGCGUGGGGAGCAAACAGG